rnacentral:SRP_RNA from 1 species
GUAAUGACUAGGCCGGGAGGCUAGGCGUCUCCUGUAACCUAAAAUCGUCUAUAGGUAGGGGUCGAAGCCUGGAGAGCGGUAGAUAAGUCCAGUGUGGAGAGCUGCUCACGCCAGUGAGACUCUGUCUCUCUUGAUCGGCAUCGAAAGUGUUCCUUCUGUAGGGAAGGAGCUUCUUUCCUGACUCCCGAACCCCGUGAGGUCCGGAAGGGAACAGCGGUAGGGAGAAUGUUUGAUGCUUGAGAGGCCACAGGGUUGAGAACGGGGCAGUUUUGAAACUCUGGAGGAGUCUAUCCAUCUUCAGGCGUGUCAUUAA